rnacentral:lncRNA from 1 species
AUGAGGUGGAGGGAAUAUAGAACAUCAGAUAUGUAUACCAUCAAGAUUUGUGUUAUGAAGGGACUCAACAAAAGAUCACUCAUACUGAGCAAAUCUAGAAGCAGUUCUGCUGCUGAUCCUGAAUUAAAAUAAACUUUUCACAAUUCAAAGAAGAAAUUAGAGACAUGAUUUUUUUUUCAAUUAAAGUUAUUCUUCAUUAAAUUUCUGUCCUGAAAUUGCCCACCUGACUGGAAAGACAUAGAUGUGACAAAAAUAGAACUUGGAAACGCCAAGUUUCACUCCAUGUGAAAGGGUUUAAGUGCAGGUGUCUGCAGGGGUGGUGACCUU